rnacentral:rRNA from 1 species
GAUGAACGCUGGCGGUAUGCUUAACACAUGCAAGUCGAACGGACUCUUCGGAGUUAGUGGCGGACGGGUGAGUAACGCGUGAGAAUCUGGCUUUGGGUUCGGGACAACCACUGGAAACGGUGGCUAAUACCGGAUGUGCCGAGAGGUAAAAGAGAAAUUGCCUGAAGAUGAGCUCGCGACUGAUUAGCUAGUUGGUGAGGUAAAGGCUCACCAAGGCAGCGAUCAGUAGCUGGUCUGAGAGGAUGACCAGCCACACUGGGACUGAGACACGGCCCAGACUCCUACGGGAGGCAGCAGUGGGGAAUUUUCCGCAAUGGGCGAAAGCCUGACGGAGCAAUACCGCGUGAGGGAAGAAGGCUCUUGGGUUGUAAACCUCUUUUCUUAGGGAAGAACAAAAUGACGGUACCUAAGGAAUCAGCAUCGGCUAACUCCGUG